AUACUUACCUAACAGGGGAGACAUCAUGUUCAGGCAGCUGGUUUUCCCAAGGCAAGGUUCAUCCCCUGCACUCUGGGUGUCCUGAACCCUGUGAUUUCCCAAAAUGCGGGAAAUUUGACUGCAUAAUUUAUAGUAGUGGAGGACUGUUCUAGCAGGAUCUUUG